UACGUAGGGUGCGAGCGUUAAUCGGAAUUACUGGGCGUAAAGGGUGCGUAGGCGGUCGGGUAAGUCUGACGUGAAAUCUUCGAGCCUAACUCGGAAACUGCGUCGGAUACUAUUCGGCUAGAGGAUCGGAGGGGAGACUGGAAUACUUGGUGUAGCAGUGAAAUGCGUAGAUAUCAAGUGGAACACCAGUGGCGAAGGCGAGUCUCUGGACGAUUCCUGACACUGAGGCACGAAAGCCAGGGGAGCAAACGGG
rnacentral:rRNA from 1 species